GCCUAUGGCCAUACUAGCCCUGAACAUGCCUGAUAUCUUCUGAUCUUGGAAGCUAAGCAGGGUCAGGCUUGGGUAGGACUUGGAUGGGAGUCUCUGGGUUCUAUUGCCC
rnacentral:rRNA from 1 species